rnacentral:lncRNA from 1 species
AUCGGUACCAUUUCGGUACUAAAAUGACACAACUAAAAAAUGAACCAAUUCAAUAUUCAACAGAUUCAUUCACCAAAAUAAGUGAUGCCUAAGUUACAGAUUCAAAGAUUCAACAUAUUCAAUAUCCAAAUCCUAAUCAACCAAAUCAAUAUCCAUGAACAAAUUCAAUAUCCAAAUCAACCAAAUCAAUAUCCAUCAACAGAUUCAACAUACAUAAAUUUUCAAACACUGAAAUCUUCAAUUACUAGAAAUUGAAAUGAUGGAAAUCUAAAUUCUAACAUUUUCAAUUCAUUCAUCCAAACAGAGGGUUGGGAUAUCGAUG